AUGGAGGGAACACAGGGGGACUAUGUGUUGCUGAACGUGGCUAUCAAAGUGGUGUACGUGGAGAUGCGCUACAGCCCACACCUGCUGGCCAACUCCAAGGUGGAGCCCAUCCCCUGGAACCAGGCCGAAGGGGACGUCACCCCGGAUGAGGUGGUGGCCCUAGUGGACCAGGGCCUGCAGGAGGGAGAGCAGACUUCGGGGUGAAGGUGCAGUCCAUCCUGUGCUGCAUGCGCCACCAGCCCAGCUGGUCCCCCGAGGUGGUGGAGCUGUGUAAGAAGUACCAGCAGCAGACCGUGGUGGCCAUCGACCUGGCUGGGGAUGAGACCAUCCAAGGCAGCAGCCUCUUCCCAGGACAUGUGCAGGCCUACGAGGAGGCCGUGAAGAGCGGCGUUCACCGCACGGUCCAUGCCGGGGAGGCGGGCUCGGCGGAGGUGGUGAGAGAGGCCGUGGACACGCUCAAGACAGAGAGGCUGGGCCACGGCUACCACACCCUGGAGGACGAGGCCCUUUACAACAGGCUGCGGCAGGAAAACAUGCACUUCGAGGUCUGCCCCUGGUCCAGCUACCUCACCGGCGCCUGGAAGCCGGGCACGGAGCAUGCGGUUGUUCGGUUCAAAAAUGACCAGGCGAACUACUCACUCAACACGGACGACCCACUCAUCUUCAAGUCUACCCUGGACACAGAUUACCAGAUGACCAAGCAGGACAUGGGCUUCACUGAAGAGGAGUUUAAGAGACUGAACAUCAACGCAGCAAAGUCCAGUUUCCUCCCAGAAGAUGAGAAGAACGAGCUUCUUGAGCUGCUCUAUGAAGCCUAUGGGAUGACAUCUCCGGCCUCGGCAGGGCAGCAUGCAUGAAGACAUGGUGGCCAUCUCUCUGAGCCCUCACCCUGUGGAUGGAUACGUCACUACUCUGGGGUCAAGCGACACGUUCCCCUUUACUCCUUCCAGGGAGACCAUGAUUUCCAAAAUCAGCUACUGAUACUCUGAAGCCUGUGUGCCUAUUUCUGUACACAUGUAUACCUCAGCAGGGCCGGGCCCCUCCUCUGAUUGUGUGCCCGGGCCUGGAUCAGGGCCUGGGUCUGGGAUUGGUUGAAUCUGAAUCUCUCUUCUGUGGUGACUUAUGAUGAAAAUCUGGUGCUCAAUAAAGAAGCCAAUGGCUGGGGUCGUGACAAAAAAAAAAAAAG